GCGGAAGAUGUAGGUGGGCAGCGCCUGCUUGCACCGCGGAGGCGCCUCGGCCAGCCCUCCGCUCACCGGCGCCAGCUGCGGGUUGUAUCUCACCGGGAGGAGGAAGUCGAAACCUGCGGAACUCCCUGCCGCUUGAAGAUGGCUCUGUGGAAAGGGAGGAUUGAUUCCCGGCCCCAAUCUCUGGGUCUUGGUCCCAGUGGAACCCGAGAGCGUUGACCAAAGACCCCGAGCGCCCGCUGAUGAAGCGCAGGACCGUGUUGGGGAACAUCGGCUCAGCUUCGAAGCCCAUCCCGGGACCAAAGUUGGGCCCGAAGGCAAAGACGCGCCCCAGAUUUCAGGUGCUUGAUGCACCUCUCUGGUCCUCAAGGUGAAUGGGAACGAAUCUCAGGGUGAGAGCACUCCUUUGAAAAGUGUAGGUGAUCUUCAUUUGUUAGACUUUUUCUUUUACUUGCAUGUCUGUUGAUGCUUAAUGUGUGAUGCUUAACCGCAGUGCUAAGGUCUGAUCCUUAAAACAUCACCCUUGCUAACAUCUCUAUGUCCCACCACUUGUGGCAAGUGAUGACUGACAUAUUGUCUGUCUGUCUGUCUGUCUAUCUCAUUUCUUUGCUGCCUUUCUCCCAAAAUGAGACCCAACACUGCUCCUAGACACAGGCAAUUUAAAAUAUAUUCACAAUGAAAUCAAAUAGCAAUGAAAACCAGCACAGCAUAUAAUCAUUUUCAAGACUAACAGCAGUUUUAAAAGAUAAAACACUAAUAAAAUGCUCCCCCAACACUUUAAAAGCCUGCUUAAACACACAAUUUUGGCAUUGAAUCCUCAGGGUCUCUGACAGUCCCUUCCUGGCAAUCCUUGUCUCUAAAGAUAUACAUACCUUAAGAGGUACCUGUCAUUUGCUCUUAUUUUUAGGGCAGUCACGGGGCCAUCCAGUUCAUUAUUCGAAUGGUCAAAAUAUUCUCCACUGUCACCACCAAAUUCUCCAGAGAAAGAGGCAAGCCUUGCCAGGGCUGGAUCCAUACAAAAAGAUGCGUGAAAGGUGUAAUAAAUAAAUAAUAAUAAUACAUGAUAAUACACUUAUUUAUAUUCCUCAGAGGAACUCAGAGCAGAUUACAGAACACAUAUGAGGCAAACAUUCAAUGCCCUUUACACAGCGACAUACAAUACACAUAGAGAGGUAAAGAUCUUCCUCUUCUUUCAUCUUACGGUCUUACCUUUUAUGUGUUUUUAAUGUAAUUUUUAUCCUGUAUUGUUGUUUUAAUUGAUAUAUUGCAUUACUGUUUUAUCUGUUUUAUAUUGUGAUUGUAUUAUGUUGCUUAUAUUUUGUUCUUAUGUUGUUUGGGCCUCUGCCCCAUGUAAGUCGCCCCGAGUCCCCACGGGGAGAUGGUGGUGGGGUAUAAAUAAAGUUUAUUUUAUUU